rnacentral:rRNA from 1 species
UACGGGGGGGAGCAAGCGUUGUUCGGAUUUACUGGGCGUAAAGGGCUCGUAGGCGGCCAACUAAGUCAGACGUGAAAUCCCUCGGCUUAACCGGGGAACUGCGUCUGAUACUGGAUGGCUAGAGUGUGGGGAGAGGGAUGCGGAAUUCCAGGUGUAGCGGUGAAAUGCGCAGAUAUCAGGAAGAACACCCGUGGCGAAGGCGGCUCUCUGGGACGUGACUGACGCUGAGACGCGAAAGCGUGGGGAGCGAACAGG